GGUAGAGAAUACCAAGGCGCUUGAGAGAACUCGGGUGAAGGAACUAGGCAAAAUGGUGCCGUAACUUCGGGAGAAGGCACGCUGAUAUGUAGGUGAAGUCCCUCGCGGAUGGAGCUGAAAUCAGUCGAAGAUACCAGCUGGCUGCAACUGUUUAUUAAAAACACAGCACUGUGCAAACACGAAAGUGGACGUAUACGGUGUGACGCC
rnacentral:rRNA from 1 species